AUGACCAGUCGUGGCAUACUAAUCACCACUACCCGUAUGAUUGAUAUUGUGCAUUCAUGUCAUUCAUCAUUUAGUGGCCAUAUUUAUAAUAUGAAGCCUCUUCAUAUGGAGCACUCAAGACAUCUAUUUCACAAAAGACUAUUCAGUUCCAAAGAAGAUUGUCCUUCAUACCUUGAAGAAUUUUCUGGGCAAAUAUUGGAAAAAUGUGAUGGGUUACCUUUAGCAAUCAUUGCUAUAUCUUGUUUGUUGGGUAACACAGAAAGAACAAAGCAGCAAUGGGACCAAGUAAAAGAUUCAAUUGGUCAUGCACUUGAAAGGAAUCCUAGUGUUGAAGGAAUGAUGAAGAUAUUGUCACUUAGUUACUUUGAUCUGCCUUCUCAUCUAAAAGGUUGUCUCCUAUAUCUAAGUAUAUUUCCAGAAGAUUCUAUUAUUGAGAAGAAGGGUCUAAUAAGGAGAUGGGUUGCUGAAGGACUUGUU
rnacentral:rRNA from 1 species